rnacentral:tRNA from 1 species
GAGGGUAUAGCUCAAGUGGUAGAGCACAUGCUUAGCAUGCAUGAGGUCCUGGGUUCAAUUCCCAGUAUCUCCU